UAUACACUGAACUUUUGAAUACUGCACACUGCACCUUUAAAUAUACAUAUUGCAUAUUAUACCAGAGGAUGAAACUGACUCUAGACUUCAGAGAGGACUGUGGUCUUACCGUAGAUGAACCAUAUGAAAAUAACAGAACCAGGCUGAGGGAUGCACACACUCCAGAUCAUGCUCUCGGCAACAGCAGGACAGAGCUUUAGAACGGCAAUCAUUCCCAUCAUGAGCAGGACCGAUACCCCUAUAACUAUUAUGUACACCGGGAGAAGUGGAGCUACUGGACAGGUCGUGCAGAUGCAGAGAUUCAGAGGACACAGAUGGGUUCUUCCCUUACAACCUUGUCCUCUACAAUGUGUAUUUUCAACGUUUCAAAAUGGCUAUAACCCUGCUGUUAAGGUGUCUACAGCAGCUGGCCAUUGUUGCAGCUUCAACAAGUACUAGUAAUCAUCCCAAUUGCACUCAGAAGAUUUGUGCUGUCCCUCAACUAGAGGUUGCUGUGAAAACUGUAAAAGCUUUGUCCAGAUAAUGUGCCUUACAUUGAGCUUUAAUAUUAAUCUCCCUGUUAUGACAACUUUAGCAGCAAAGAUUGCCUCAAAAUAUCCUCACUAGUGAGCAUUUCAGUCUCCUUUAUUAAUAUCAAUGUGAAGAACACAUGACUGUACUGUGCUGGUUUGAGUUUGUCUUCUGUAACCGGAACUUUUUUUUCGUUUCAUAAAUGAUUGUGGAUGUUAAAGCUACUGUAAGAAUUUUUUCAGCCCAAUAUGAAACAAAGUGAAUUAUUA